GGUUAAGCGACUAAGCGUACACGGUGGAUGCCCUGGCAGUCAGAGGCGAUGAAGGACGUGCUAAUCUGCGAAAAGCGUCGGUAAGGUGAUAUGAACCGUUAUAACCGGCGAUGUCCGAAUGGGGAAACCCAGUGCAAUUCGUUGCACUAUCGUUAACUGAAUACAUAGGUUAACGAGGCGAACCGGGGGAACUGAAACAUCUAAGUACCCCGAGGAAAAGAAAUCAACCGAGAUUCCCCCAGUAGCGGCGAGCGAACGGGGAGCAGCCCAGAGUCUGAAUCAGCUUGUGUGUUAGUGGAACGGUCUGGAAAGUCCGACAGUACAGGGUGAUAGUCCCGUACACCAAAAUGCACAGGCUGUGAACUCGAAGAGUAGGGCGGGACACGUGGUAUCCUGUCUGAAUAUGGGGGGACCAUCCUCCAAGGCUAAAUACUCCUGACUGACCGAUAGUGAACCAGUACCGUGAGGGAAAGGCGAAAAGAACCCCGGCGAGGGGAGUGAAAAAGAACCUGAAACCGUGUACGUACAAGCAGUGGGAGCACCUUCGGGUGUGACUGCGUACCUUUUGUAUAAUGGGUCAGCGACUUAUAUUCUGUAGCAAGGUUAACCGUAUAGGGGAGCCGCAGGGAAACCGAGUCUUAACUGGGCGUUAAGUUGCAGGGUAUAGACCCGAAACCCGGUGAUCUAGCCAUGGGCAGGUUGAAGGUUGGGUAACACUAACUGGAGGACCGAACCGACUAAUGUUGAAAAAUUAGCGGAUGACUUGUGGCUGGGGGUGAAAGGCCAAUCAAACCGGGAGAUAGCUGGUUCUCCCCGAAAGCUAUUUAGGUAGCGCCUCGUGAACUCAUCUUCGGGGGUAGAGCACUGUUUCGGCUAGGGGGUCAUCCCGACUUACCAACCCGAUGCAAACUACGAAUACCGAAGAAUGUUAUCACGGGAGACACACGGCGGGUGCUAACGUCCGUCGUGAAGAGGGAAACAACCCAGACCGCCAGCUAAGGUCCCAAAGUCAUGGUUAAGUGGGAAACGAUGUGGGAAGGCACAGACAGCCAGGAUGUUGGCUUAGAAGCAGCCAUCAUUUAAAGAAAGCGUAAUAGCUCACUGGUCGAGUCGGCCUGCGCGGAAGAUGUAACGGGGCUAAACCAUGCACCGAAGCUGCGGCAGCGACACUAUGUGUUGUUGGGUAGGGGAGCGUUCUGUAAGCCUGCGAAGGUGACCUGUGAGGGUUGCUGGAGGUAUCAGAAGUGCGAAUGCUGACAUAAGUAACGAUAAAGCGGGUGAAAAGCCCGCUCGCCGGAAGACCAAGGGUUCCUGUCCAACGUUAAUCGGGGCAGGGUGAGUCGACCCCUAAGGCGAGGCCGAAAGGCGUAGUCGAUGGGAAACAGGUUAAUAUUCCUGUACUUGGUGUUACUGCGAAGGGGGGACGGAGAAGGCUAUGUUAGCCGGGCGACGGUUGUCCCGGUUUAAGCAUGUAGGCUGAUUGUCCAGGCAAAUCCGGAUAAUCAAGGCUGAGGUGUGAUGACGAGGCACUACGGUGCUGAAGUAACAAAUGCCCUGCUUCCAGGAAAAGCCUCUAAGCAUCAGGUAACAUUAAAUCGUACCCCAAACCGACACAGGUGGUCAGGUAGAGAAUACCAAGGCGCUUGAGAGAACUCGGGUGAAGGAACUAGGCAAAAUGGUGCCGUAACUUCGGGAGAAGGCACGCUGGUGUGUAGGUGAAGCCCCUGCGGGUGGAGCUGAGACCAGUCGAAGAUACCAGCUGGCUGCAACUGUUUAUUAAAAACACAGCACUGUGCAAACACGAAAGUGGACGUAUACGGUGUGACGCCUGCCCGGUGCCGGAAGGUUAAUUGAUGGGGUUAUCCGUAAGGAGAAGCUCUUGAUCGAAGCCCCGGUAAACGGCGGCCGUAACUAUAACGGUCCUAAGGUAGCGAAAUUCCUUGUCGGGUAAGUUCCGACCUGCACGAAUGGCGUAAUGAUGGCCAGGCUGUCUCCACCCGAGACUCAGUGAAAUUGAACUCGCUGUGAAGAUGCAGUGUACCCGCGGCAAGACGGAAAGACCCCGUGAACCUUUACUAUAGCUUGACACUGAACAUUGAGCCUUGAUGUGUAGGAUAGGUGGGAGGCUUUGAAGCGUGGACGCCAGUCUGCGUGGAGCCAACCUUGAAAUACCACCCUUUAAUGUUUGAUGUUCUAACGUUGGCCCCUGACCGGGGUUGCGGACAGUGUCUGGUGGGUAGUUUGACUGGGGCGGUCUCCUCCCAAAGCGUAACGGAGGAGCACGAAGGUUAGCUAAUCCUGGUCGGACAUCAGGAGGUUAGUGCAAUGGCAUAAGCUAGCUUGACUGCGAGCGUGACGGCGCGAGCAGGUGCGAAAGCAGGUCAUAGUGAUCCGGUGGUUCUGAAUGGAAGGGCCAUCGCUCAACGGAUAAAAGGUACUCCGGGGAUAACAGGCUGAUACCGCCCAAGAGUUCAUAUCGACGGCGGUGUUUGGCACCUCGAUGUCGGCUCAUCACAUCCUGGGGCUGAAGUAGGUCCCAAGGGUAUGGCUGUUCGCCAUUUAAAGUGGUACGCGAGCUGGGUUUAGAACGUCGUGAGACAGUUCGGUCCCUAUCUGCCGUGGGCGCUGGAGAAUUGAGGGGGGCUGCUCCUAGUACGAGAGGACCGGAGUGGACGCAUCACUGGUGUUCGGGUUGUCAUGCCAAUGGCACUGCCCGGUAGCUAAAUGCGGAAGAGAUAAGUGCUGAAAGCAUCUAAGCACGAAACUUGCCCCGAGAUGAGUUCUCCCUGAGACUUUAAGUCUCCUGAAGGAACGUUGAAGACGACGACGUUGAUAGGCCGGGUGUGUAAGCGCAGCGAUGCGUUGAGCUAACCGGUACUAAUGAACCGUGAGGCUUAACCUU
rnacentral:rRNA from 1 species